ACUCUGCGAGGACACUCCCACACAGAGUACGACGUGUCCAGUAUCUGGAACUGAUGGAUAAUGUGAAGGCCUCCGUGUUGCCUCCACAUUAAAUCUUUCAACAAACUGCUGCAGUAGAAGUGUUGAAAGUUCAGUCGACCUAUUUGAUGAUGAAUUAUAAACAUAGAACUUGGAUCAGCAGCGUCCUGCGCCAAAACUCUCUCUGCUCGCCGGCUGUUCGGAGACAAGUUCCUGUUUCCUGAACCAGUCGUGAAUUGGCGACUCUCUCACAGGAUCAUCUCAUCGCCGUGUCCAGAUCAUCUACACACUACAUACUGGCUUCCCUUUACAAUUGUGAGCAGUUCAAUUGUUAAUGUGCAGAAGCUGUGAGUCGGGCCGUGAGGGGUGAAGGCAACCAGCCAGCAGCAGCUGUUGUCACACUCAUGAGUGGGCUGAUUUGCUGAAAGUGGCGCGAGCUACUACAAAAUUGAGUAUGCACUCUACUGUAAAAUAAGUUGCUACAAGGAGACAAUGGCUUAAGUGCCUCAGAGUCAAAUAGGGAAUAUCAAGAGCUGCAACUUUACAGUGGUUUGCACAAGACGAAAACUCAACUCCUCUUAUUAUCAUCCAUCUAUGUACAUUUAAUACAACAUAGUCAUUGCUGCACAGCUGGCUGACCUGACCUCGAGUCAUGGAAAUAAUUAUGAAAUACAAUAAAAAUGCAUGCAGGUUGCACUUUCAGCACUUCUUCACAGAACUACACUUCGCACCGCAUCAGACAUCGCAGCCUGACGACGGUGGACACGUUCAGAGGACGAAGUUUCUCCACAGCCCCAGAGAAGCUGCUGAUGAACAGAGGAGGACCGCGGCUCUGCUGGGCAGCUGAGCCUCAGCUUGUGUUACUGUGUGCUGCAGAAAGUGUACACUUCAGCGGCAUGCCCAAUCAUCUUAGGUUAGAAGUAUGUAGCCUCUCCGACACUGUUGUUGCGCCGCCGGCUGUUUGAUGCCGCUGACCUAAAACUUUAAGCUUAUUUCAUCAUUGCACUCACAGCAUCAGUGAACUGCCUACAAAAAAAAAUAAAAGUGAAAGUCGUCCUGCCUCUU